AGUGAACGCUGGCGGUAGGCCUAACACAUGCAAGUCGAACGGCAGCACAGUAAGAGCUUGCUCUUACGGGUGGCGAGUGGCGGACGGGUGAGGAAUACAUCGGAAUCUACUUUUUCGUGGGGGAUAACGUAGGGAAACUUACGCUAAUACCGCAUACGACCUACGGGUGAAAGCAGGGGAUCUUCGGACCUUGCGCGGUUGAAUGAGCCGAUGUCGGAUUAGCUAGUUGGCGGGGUAAAGGCCCACCAAGGCGACGAUCCGUAGCUGGUCUGAGAGGAUGAUCAGCCACACUGGAACUGAGACACGGUCCAGACUCCUACGGGAGGCAGCAGUGGGGAAUAUUGGACGAUGGGCGCAAGCCUGAUCCAGCCAUACCGCGUGGGUGAAGAAGGCCUUCGGGUUGGAAAGCCCUUUUGUUGGGAAAGAAAAGCAGCAGGUUAAUACCCCGCUGUUCUGACGGUACCCAAAGAAUAAGCACCGGCUAACUUCGUG
rnacentral:rRNA from 1 species